rnacentral:lncRNA from 1 species
CGCAGGAAGUGUCUUCCAUGUCUUCUCUCUCGUCCUUCUUUUCUGCUGUGUUCCGCUUGUUCUUUUACUCAUCUUUUUGGUCUACAGCGCUUUUUCAGACACAAGAGAAACAAAUCAAUCUAGCAGGGGACAUCAAAUAAAGUGCCAUGUUGUGUUCACUUUGGUUUUCUGGGCUGGCGUAAUGGCACAAGUGAGAACCUGGUGAGUGAAGGGGGUGCGUCAGCAUCAGACCCCCCGGGGAGCAGCAGAGAUCAGCUGUGACCAGACGGCCCGUACCACCCAGAGCCCCUACCCCAACUGCAGCAUCCCUAUCCUAGCAGGACAUCGUGUCCAGACAGCACGUCGACCUCUGACAUGUACACUGCGUACAGUGUUCUGAAGGUACCAGGUGGAAAGCAGGUUCUUUCACCAAGCCAUCCAAUCAGAAACAAAGAUGGACACACUGGACACACACAGCAACAUGAAGUCAACUAUGCCUCGCUGCAAUUCAGGGGCCAGGAGAUGGGUAGCUUGGGUCCUAGAGACCAAGCGAGAGAGGGUGACGUCUAUGCUAAGGAUGCCAAGCCAAAGCUGAAGGAAAAGACUGAUAAGUGCGAUGACUACGAGAACAUUAAGGAAGUGUGUGCUUCGAAGCCCACCAUCGAGCCAAACAUGGACACGGAGACAGGGAGCAGUGAGGAUGACGUGGAGAUCAGCUACUCUGAGGUCACGUUCAGAGCAAAGCCAAGACACGAGACAGUCUGUAGUUCUGACCCUCGCCACCGCAGAGCAGGCCACAGCAGCAGCUCAGAUGAAGAAGACUACACAACCCAGUAUACUGAUGUUAAAAUAUCAGAGGAAGUUUCAUUCAUAGUCAAAAAAAGUAUAAAGGUUUAUUUGUAAAUAUCUGUAAAUAUUUGUAUCACACCCAGUCAAAAGUGUGGACACACCUACUCAUUCAAGGGUUUUUCUUUAUUUUGACUAUUUUCUACAUUGUAGAAUUAUAGCGAAGACAUCAAAAUUAUGAAAUAACACAUAUGGAAUCAUGUAGUAACCAAAAAAGUGUUAAACAAUUAUAGCAAUUAUAAACAAUUAUAACAAUAUAUGUUAUAUAUCACAUUCUUCAAAGUAGCCACCCUUUGCCUUGAUGACAGCUUUGCACACGCUUGGCAUUCUCUCAACCAGUUUCAUGAGGUAGUCACCUGAUGUGCAUUUCAAUUAACAGGUUGUGCCUUGUUAAAAGUUAAUUUGUGGAAUUUCUUUCCUUCUUAAUGCGUUUCAGCCAAUCAGUUGUGUUGUGACAAGGUAGGGGUGGUAUACAGAAGAUAGCCCUAUUUGAUAAAAGACCAAGUCCAUAUAAUGGCAAGAAAAGCUCAAAUAAGCAAAGAGAAAUUGCAGUCCAUCAUUAAUUUAAGACACGAAGUUCAUUCAAUCUGGAAAAUUUCAAGAACUUUGAAAGUUUCUUAAAGUGCAGUUGCAAAACCAUCAAGCGCUAUGAUGAAACUGGCUCUCAUGAGGACCGCCACAGGAAAGGAGACCCAGAGUUACCUCUGCUGCAGAGGAUAAGUUGAUAAGUAGAGUUAACUGCACCUCACAUCACAGCCCAAAUAAAUGCUUCACAGAGUUCAAGUAACAGACACAUCUCAACAUCAACCGUUCAGAGGAGACUGUAUGAAUCAGGCUUUCAUGGUCGAAUUGCUGCAAAGAAACCACUACUAAAAGACACCAAUAAGAAGAAGAAACUUGCUUGGCCAAGAAACACGAGCAAUGCACAUUAGACCGGUGGAAAUCUGUCAUUUGGUCUGAUGAGUCCAAAUUUUAGAUUUUUGGUUCCAACCACUGUGUCUUUGAGACACAGAGUAGGUGAACGGAUGAUCGCCGCGUGUGUGGUUCCCACCGUGAAGCAUGGAGUAGGAGGU